GACGAACGCUGGCGGCGUGCUUAACACAUGCAAGUCGAACGAAGUGGCGAACGGGUGAGUAACGAGUAAUCAACCUGCCCUUCAGAGGGGGACAACAUUGGGAAACGACUCCUAAUACCCAUUCCUGACGGAGGGAUUUGCGUCGGAUUAGCUAGUGGGAGGGGUAACGGCCAACAAAGGCGAGGAUCAGUAGCCGGUCUGAGAGGAUGAACGGCCACAUUGGGACUGAGACACGGCCCAGACUCCUACGGGAGGCAGCAGUGGGGAAUCGUCCGCAAUGGACGAAAGUCUGACGGAGCAACGCCGCGUGAGUGAUGACGGCCUUCGGGUUGUAAAGCUCUGUUAAUCGGGACGCGGUACCGGAAUAGAAAGCCACGGCUAACUACGUGCCAGCAGCCGCGGUAAUAC
rnacentral:rRNA from 1 species